rnacentral:tRNA from 1 species
GAGAUUGUGGCUCAGUGGUAGAAUGCUCUUCUCGCAUGUGUGAAGCACUGAGUUCGAUCCUCAGCACCACA